GUGCGAGACCGAUAGCGAACAAGUACCGUGAGGGAAAGAUGAAAAGAACUUUGAAAAGAGAGUUAAAGAGUACCUGAAACUGCUGAAAGGGAACCGAGUCGUCUCUAGUGUCUAUAAUCUGUGGCAUAUUCCAUUGCUUUGCUUGUGCGUGUAGUAUUUCGGAAGUGGUUUACUGCUCCUGGUGCUAUUGUGCGUUUGCUUGGCGGUGCUCUGUGUCAUAGUGGGACGUCAGAGUCAGUUUGUAAAUCGCGAGAAAUGGCUGUUGAGAAGGUAGGUUGCUUCGGUGACUGUUUAUAGCUCGACGUGCUAGUAGUCGUGGUUGAGACUGAGGUGCCUU
rnacentral:rRNA from 2 species